UCCCAGACUCCUACGGGAGGCAGCAGUGGGGGAUAUUGCACAAUGGGGGGAACCCUGAUGCAGCGACGCCGCGUGGGUGAAGGAGUAUUUCGGUAUGUAAAGCCCUAUCGGCAGGGAAGAAGCAAGACGGUACCUGACUAAGAAGCCCCGGCUAACUACGUGCCAGCAGCCGCGGGAAUACGUAGGGGGCAAGCGUUAUCCGGAUUUACUGGGUGUAAAGGGAGCGUAGACGGCGAUGCAAGUCUGAAGUGAAAGGCGGGGGCCCAACCCCCGGACUGCUUUGGAAACUGUAUAGCUGGAGUGCAGGAGAGGUAAGUGGAAUUCCUAGUGUAGCGGUGAAAUGCGUAGAUAUUAGGAGGAACACCAGUGGCGAAGGCGGCUUACUGGACUGUAACUGACGUUGAGGCUCGAAAGCGUGGGGAGCAAACAGGAUUAGAUACCCUGGUAC
rnacentral:rRNA from 1 species